AACUCCCGGACGCGAGAUCGUGACCUGGCUGAAAUCGGACGCUUAACUGACUGCGCCACCCAGGCGCCCCAAUCAACACAUUUUUCACAUAAACCAUAAAGUAAAUGUUGAAGGCUCAAAAAGGUUCAAGAUAAGAUGUGCAUUCAGUGAUGGCUGUUAUCAACAAACUGGUGUCAUAACACAGAAAGUAAAUAGUCUCAUCCAGCGCCUCAACUAUAUACGUUGUUAUUUUUCUCAACCUCAUUAAAAAGGACUUAGGUUGGUGGACAUUAGCUUGUGGAAUUAUAUGAGCAAUUAUUUUAUGUUGAAUAAAUGAACACCUAUAUUUGCACAUUUUAUGUCAUCAAAGAUAAUUUUUGCAAAUGUAUCACAAUAAUUGAUAAGAAGCCACUCCCCAUAACUAUGAUCAUCCUUAUUGUUCAGUCAAUAAAUUGAAUUAUAAAUGCUGAAA